GGGACAAGAAGAGGUGCAUUUCUUAGACAUAGUCGACUGGAUAGAGUGAUAAGAGGCUUCAUCAGAGGUUUUAGAGAGAAGGACAGGGUCAAAGUUGGAGGAAUUUAGGUUAGGGGUAGUUUUGGAGAGAUUAGCCAUUGAUCGUGUUUUUGUCAUAGUAGAGAAAAAAAGAAUGGAUGAGUAUAAUGUGAAGAGGAGAAGUGGAAU
rnacentral:lncRNA from 1 species